rnacentral:rRNA from 1 species
UUACGGGAGGCAGCAGUGGGGAAUUUUGCGCAAUGGGCGAAAGCCUGACGCAGCAACGCCGCGUGGAGGAUGAAGGCCUUCGGGUCGUAAACUCCUGUCGAUGGGGACGAAAGCCUCGCAAGAGGUUUGACUGUACCCGUUGAGGAAGCCACGGCUAACUCCGUGCCAGCAGCCGCGGUAAUACGGAGGUGGCAAGCGUUGUUCGGAAUUACUGGGCGUAAAGGGCGCGUAGGCGGCAUGGCAAGUCAGAUGUGAAAGCCCCAGGCUUAACCUGGGAAUUGCAUCUGAAACUGCUUUGCUUGAGUCCUGGAGGGGGUAGUGGAAUUCCCAGUGUAGCGGUGAAAUGCGUAGAUAUUGGGAGGAACACCUGCGGCGAAGGCGGCUACCUGGACAGUGACUGACGCUGAGGCGCGAAAGCUAGGGGAGCGAACAGGAUUAGAUACCCGGGUAA